ACCUGGGCGGCUUAGUUGGUUAAGUGUCUGACUUUGACUCAGGUCAUGAUCUCAUGGCUCGUGGGUUCAAGCCCCAUGUCAAGUU
rnacentral:tRNA from 1 species